CAAUAGCGUAUAUUAAAGUUGUUGCGGUUAAAAAGCUCGUAGUUGGAUUUCUGCUGAGAACGACCGGUCCGCCCUUUGGGUGUGUAUCUGGCUCUUUCUUGGCAUCUUCUUGGUGAACGUUGCUGCACUUGACUGUGUGGAGCGCUACCCAGGACUUUUACUUUGAGGAAAUUAGAGUGUUUCAAGCAGGCAUACGCCUUGAAUACAUUAGCAUGGAAUAAUAGGAUAGGACCUCGGUUCUAUUUUGUUGGUUUCUAGAGCUGAGGUAAUGAUUAAUAGGGAUAGUUGGGGGCAUUCGUAUUUAACUGUCAGAGGUGAAAUUCUUGGAUUUGUUAAAGACGGACCACUGCGAAAGCAUUUGCCAAGGAUGUUUUCAUUGA
rnacentral:rRNA from 1 species